rnacentral:rRNA from 1 species
GAUGAACGCUGACAGUAUGCUUAACACAUGCAAGUCGAUGGGGAAGUCGUUCUUGCCCCAUUGUAACCAUGGCGGACGGGUGAGUAACGCGUAAGGAACUUGCCUUCUGGUCUGUGAUAACAGCAGGCAACUGCUGAUUUUCCCGAAUACCGUCUUUAAGCUGCAUAUCUUAGUGAUGAAAGUUGACGCCUGGGGAGAGGCUUGCGUCCUAUUAGCUAGUUGGUGGGGUAACGGCCCACCACGGCCCAGAUAGGUAGCCGGCCUGAGAGGUGGGACGGUCAAAAGGGGACUGAGAGACGGCCGUGACUCCUACGGGAGGAAGGAGUGGAGAAUAUUGGAGAAAGGGGGCAAGGCUGAUGCAGCAAUUCUGUGUGCACGAAGACGGUUUUCGGAUAGAAAAGUGGUUGGAGAAGGGAAGAAGGAAGUGACGGUACCUGAAGAAGAAGCAACGGCUAAAUACGUG